rnacentral:rRNA from 1 species
GAUGAACGCUGGCGGCGUGCCUAAUACAUGCAAGUCGAGCGAACAGACGAGGAGCUUGCUCCUCUGACGUUAGCGGCGGACGGGUGAGUAACACGUGGAUAACCUACCUAUAAGACUGGGAUAACUUCGGGAAACCGGAGCUAAUACCGGAUAAUAUAUUGAACCGCAUGGUUCAAUAGCGAAAGACGGUUUUGCUGUCACUUAUAGAUGGAUCCGCGCCGCAUUAGCUAGUUGGUAAGGUAACGGCUUACCAAGGCAACGAUGCGUAGCCGACCUGAGAGGGUGAUCGGCCACACUGGAACUGAGACACGGUCCAGACUCCUACGGGAGGCAGCAGUAGGGAAUCUUCCGCAAUGGGCGAAAGCCUGACGGAGCAACGCCGCGUGAGUGAUGAAGGUCUUCGGAUCGUAAAACUCUGUUAUUAGGGAAGAACAAAUGUGUAAGUAACUAUGCGCGUCUUGACGGUACCUAAGCAGAAAGCCACGGCUAACUACGU